AAACACGUACCAAACCCUAAGAACCAGUUUUAUGUUUGGCUCACAAAACAUAAAAUUAAUAAAUAACACGGAACAAACCCUAAGAUAUGCUCUUCGUUUUUCUCCAUUCUCUUUGAUUUUCAGAGUACUGAUUGCUGGUUUUAGAUUCAUGGAACAGAAAUUGGGGUAAAAGAAAUCCGCCAAACAACUAAACCAUAAUCGUGAACAAGAGUAUAGAACUGAUAAUGGUGGUGCUGCUGAUAUACUACGAGGCAAAAUGAAUUGAUAGGAACUAAAAUGAAUUGGUUGAGUAUCUUAGGUGCGCUGCACAAACUGAUAAUGUGUUAAGUUGAAUGGUCCAUAAUUAUAAAUGGAUUAUUCCGGAUGAUUCAUCUGACAUUCGUAAGCGGAUUUCUGGGGCAUAGAUUUGCUAUUAUGGUAUUGGAAUAACGCUUCAACUCCAUCUUUCAGUUUGAAUUUUCUUCCAAAGGAAAUUAUUUGAAAAUGUUGUAGAAGUGGGAAGCACAUACAAAGUAAAGAAACAAGAUGAGAUACUUAGUGCUGCUAAUUUUGCCGCAAAAAUGUGUUACAAGGUGCCUGGCUGCUCUGAUAUACAACAACCAAGUUUAUGCAAAGUAGGAUCUUGCACUACUUUAUUAAAGAAGCAGGCUUAGACGCUUGCCCAAUUGCAGUGAACAACGCAGUCAACCUAAGGUGCACAAUACUUAUGGAGCUAUAAUGUUCCUCACUUUGAUCCCGAAUCAUGGCAAUACAAUCACAAUGCAAAAAUGGAAUAAUAUAGCUCGGAGGUGGUAUGCACUUCACUCCAGACCAUAGUAUCCAAGCCAAUACGUUCAAGUAUACCUGCGUUUUGGAUGCCACCAAGUUUACAUGAGAAUCCAGCCAAUGGAGUGCACCUUCCAGACACACCAAUGACUGGUGGUCAGAUUGGAAAUCAGGACCCUCGCUCGCCAAACUUAACCAACUUUCUUACCUACAAUUUACUUUCUAAUUACGGUGAGAACAUGAUUUUGUGAGUUGUCCACAGUGAUUCUCUAAUAUUGGUUUAUUUGUUCCCUCUCUCAAUUAGUAGUCGACACUAGAUAUGGAGAAGGCACUCCUUCGCCAGGUUGUAAGCCUUUCAUCAGAACAAACUAAUAUAGUUCCACCAGAACAAAAGGAAUCAAGUACUUCUAUAUAAGAAACAAAUUGUUUGGUGGUUGGUGCAGAGUUGGAGAAACGGAUACAAAGAUCAAGAAAGGUAUAUAGUCUUUACCGUAUUUAGUUAUAAUGUUUUGUUUUCUCACUUUAUAUUUUCAGGCACGAAAUUUUGGUCUGAAUGUCACAAUCAGUUGGAUUACGGUAGUCACUUUCAGAUCAUAUGACCAAGGAGGUUCAAAUUACCAAUUUUAAGGCUAGACUAUCCGAUUGACUGCACGAAAAGGAAGUGUUUUUGUUAUGGCUGACGAUGUUCAGUUGGAGCAACAUUGCAAGGCUAAGGCCAAGGCCAGUACUUACGCAAGGCCAGUGCCACCGGUUCAUCCACUGACAUUUCCCUAAAUAUUUCCAAGCAUGGAGAAGCUUACAUUUUUUCCAUUUGAGGUACAGCUUCAUCUUUGCACCAACUACCACGGUCAUUUUGAUACCAAUCAUUGGAUCAAGGGGAACUCCUACAGAGCAACUUUUAAGACGGUUUAGGAAAACUGAGAUUAUAUUUGUUAGAUACACCAUUUUUCAUGAUAACAUGUUGAUAUCGGGACGAGGCGAAGCCGAGCUUUACCAAAUCAUAUCGGGACUGGGCGAGGCGAAGCCGAGUUUUACCAAAUCAUAUCGUUACUGGGCGAGGCGAAGCCGAGCCUUAUCAAAUCAUAUCGGGACUGGGCGAGGCGAAGCCGAGCUUUGCCAAAUCAUGUCGGUACUGGGCGAGGCGAAGCCGAGCCUUGCCAAAUCAUAUCGGGACUGGGCGAGGCAAAGCCGAGCUUUCCAAAUCAUAUCGGUACUGGGCGAGGCGAACCCGAGAUUUACCAAUAUCGAGGCUGGGCGAGGCGAAGCCGAGCCUUACCAAAUAAUAUCGGGACGGACUGGGCGAGGCGAAGCCGAGCUUUACCAAAUCAAAAAUAUCGUUCAAAGAAAGAGGAAGUGAUGCAUUGUGUUUGUAGUUGGUGCAUGACUACGUCGUUCUAUUUGUAAUUAUAGAUUGAAUUGGUGAACCAAUUCUACAAAGCUGCCCGGGCGUAGCACGGGCACAAAAUCUAAUUAAUACUGAAAAGUGAAAUGUAUAUGUUUCUUCCUUGUGAUGGAUAUAUCUCAUGCUUUUGUUUGUCA